rnacentral:ncRNA from 1 species
AUAAAAGCUGUGAAAGAGACAAAAACAUCUUUAAUGUGGAUAAAGAGAGCCGGUGUCUGGUGAAAAUCGGUGCAACAUAGAUGUAAUGAUCACUCUUGAGCUGCCGAAUCGAAAGCUAUUGCCAGUAGAUGAGGACGUUUGCCUACGUUACAGGGAUAGGGUUCAAAGAUCAUAUGGUCUUAUGACUUGAUAAGAGGUAGUUUUACAACUACAAGUAGGGUGGUACCGCGAAAGACCUUUCGUCCCUAUA